CAGUAUAUUCUGUUUGGUGCUUUCCUUUGGGCAUUUACAGUUUCUGGUUUCUCCCAGUAAUUCUUCAAGCCUUUUAAUUCUCACUAAGGAUUAGCUCCAGGGCUUUUGUGCUAACAUAAUUUAAUUUGGUCAUUCCAUUCACUAUUUGUCUUUUUUCGUUUGACUCCAAUAUCCAGUGGGGGUUUCUGGUUGCCAGACUGUGGUAUUACUAUUAGAAUUUAUUGCUAAAGUGAAUAUACAAGGAGUAUAUCCCACUACUUCAGUAGGUCUUUUUCCUUCUCUGCUGAUACAAACUCUUCCAAUUAUUUGGUGAUGUAAAACCCACCCUUCGGGUCGUUUUAAUGUUUUGGAAAUUUGGGUGUGAUCCCAUUUUAGAAGUUGCUCUGGAGCUAAGCUCUCACCUUUCCAUGGCCAUUUCUCACCUGAUUUAAGCCCUCCACAAAUCCAGCUAUUAGGUGUUGUUGUUUAAGGCCUGGUGGAGCGGAAGAUACUGGGAUGUAACGGAAAGUUAGCAAACCCCCCUCUCUGUUAGGGUAGUAAAACCUCCUGCAAUUAGCCAAUAGCACCUAGGUGUGACGUAUGUAAAUGGGAGUAACACAGUGAACCUAGGCUAUAAAAUGUAAAAUUCCCCUGUAAUAAACGCCAUUAACGCCAUCCAUCACCUUGAUGCUGUGGGUUAUGGUCCGUGCGGCUGAGGAUAGCUGCCCGUGCUGACUCUAGCCAGGGUGCCUGCCUUGCUUGAAAACCCACAAAUGGUGCCAGAAACCUGGGAGGAAAAGCGGGAAAAAACCCAAAAUGCAAGGAUACCCUGGAUGACGAGCAGCGGCCAAGAUAGCUGGACUAAGUCUUGGCGAGAGAAAUCCUGGGCCCAGAAGGAAGAUGGAAUCAUUGAUAAAGAUUCAAAAAGAUCACCUGUCCAUCUGACCAGAUUGUGUGCCUCUGAACACACGAGAUCCAGUGAACAGAGAUGUCAUCACACAGCCUUGGUACUUCAGACAUGGAUCAGAAAGUGGACCUGUCAGGACACAGUUGUGUCUGAACACUACACAGACAGUUUACCAACAGAAAUUUUAUGUUGUUAUUAUGAUGUUGUGUCUCUACCAAUUUUUCAGGUAUCCUCUGUUUUAAGAUUUAGAAGGAUCUGAAGAACAACUUGAACAUCAAAGCCCUCAGUCACCGAUCCGCUGCCAGCUGACAUCACGGGAGCAGUGAACGUUCCUGGACUGAAUUGUGUUAGAGAAAUUCUGUAGAAGAUCUAAGAAAAGUGUAGAGACUCCAUCUAACCGUAUAUAAAGCAAACUGUAGUUGUGUGUUCAUCCUUUCAGCAAAUUACUUUCACUCUUAGACUACGUAUAUACCAGAGCACGUGUGUUAAAGGUAGUUAGAUAAUAGUUUAAGAUAAAGUGUUUAGCCUGUGUAGUAAUUGUUAUGUUAUUAUAAAGUAUAAGUAUUCCCCCUUCAAGAGCUAGUGUAAGCAUCUUUGAAAGUUCAUUUAACGUUAAGGUUUUAGCUGUGAGUUUGCAAAUAUGGUGUCAUUUGCAUGGAACAAACUGCUUAUAGUAAUUGUGCUGUGUAUAGUCCUGACCAACUGUCUGCUAACUAACAUCCAAAAACGACAGAACAUAUGGGUCACUCUGGCACACUGAACUGGCCAAAGGUCAAUGUGUCUAAGCCUAGCCAGCCCUGGAGAUCCUUUCGCACCUGUCUCAUGGGAGUCCCUGAGUGGGAUCCUCAAGCAUUUAAAGGUUUAGUUAGUAACGAGACUCGACUGAAUCGAUUGGCAAUGUUGCAAGAGUGCAGUUGCACUGUUGGCUUCACAUUAAGACAACUUGAAGCCUGCUGGCAAGUGAAAAUUAUCGAAGUUCUCAAUGUUACCUUACAGCCCUCAGAAGAAUUAGAUUUGUUAGGUUCCACCAAUACUUCAGGGGGAUGGAUAAUGUUUGAACCCCCAACAAAAAGCCAUUCUAACAAAGUAAUGUGGCACUGAGCUGCAGUCAGCCCUAUAGCUGAUCUUGUUACUACCAUUGAAAGUAAAGCUUUUGUUCAUGGUGCAAUCUCACAGGACAAUUACCAAAGCGAUUACUUAGUUCCAUAUUCCUAAUCUGUGGAGAUAGAGCACGGAAUGGAAUUCCUGCUAGUCCACAUAGAAGACCCUGUUAUCUUGGGAAACUUACUUUGUUCCAUCCAAGCUGUCAUGGAGUUACUUUACCUUUAAGAAAAGUUGAAGUUUCUGGGAA